rnacentral:rRNA from 1 species
AGAGUUUGAUCCUGGCUCAGGAUGAACGCUGGCGGCGUGCCUAAUACAUGCAAGUCGAGCGAACGGACGAGAAGCUUGCUUCUCUGAUGUUAGCGGCGGACGGGUGAGUAACACGUGGAUAACCUACCUAUAAGACUGGGAUAACUUCGGGAAACCGGAGCUAAUACCGGAUAAUAUUUUGAACCGCAUGGUUCAAAAGUGAAAGACGGUCUUGCUGUCACUUAUAGAUGGAUCCGCGCUGCAUUAGCUAGUUGGUAAGGUAACGGCUUACCAAGGCAACGAUGCAUAGCCGACCUGAGAGGGUGAUCGGCCACACUGGAACUGAGACACGGUCCAGACUCCUACGGGAGGCAGCAGUAGGGAAUCUUCCGCAAUGGGCGAAAGCCUGACGGAGCAACGCCGCGUGAGUGAUGAAGGUCUUCGGAUCGUAAAACUCUGUUAUUAGGGAAGAACAUAUGUGUAAGUAACUGUGCACAUCUUGACGGUACCUAAUCAGAAAGCCACGGCUAACUACGUGCCAGCAGCCGCGGUAAUACGUAGGUGGCAAGCGUUAUCCGGAAUUAUUGGGCGUAAAGCGCGCGUAGGCGGUUUUUUAAGUCUGAUGUGAAAGCCCACGGCUCAACCGUGGAGGGUCAUUGGAAACUGGAAAACUUGAGUGCAGAAGAGGAAAGUGGAAUUCCAUGUGUAGCGGUGAAAUGCGCAGAGAUAUGGAGGAACACCAGUGGCGAAGGCGACUUUCUGGUCUGUAACUGACGCUGAUGUGCGAAAGCGUGGGGAUCAAACAGGAUUAGAUACCCUGGUAGUCCACGCCGUAAACGAUGAGUGCUAAGUGUUAGGGGGUUUCCGCCCCUUAGUGCUGCAGCUAACGCAUUAAGCACUCCGCCUGGGGAGUACGACCGCAAGGUUGAAACUCAAAGGAAUUGACGGGGACCCGCACAAGCGGUGGAGCAUGUGGUUUAAUUCGAAGCAACGCGAAGAACCUUACCAAAUCUUGACAUCCUUUGACAACUCUAGAGAUAGAGCCUUCCCCUUCGGGGGACAAAGUGACAGGUGGUGCAUGGUUGUCGUCAGCUCGUGUCGUGAGAUGUUGGGUUAAGUCCCGCAACGAGCGCAACCCUUAAGCUUAGUUGCCAUCAUUAAGUUGGGCACUCUAAGUUGACUGCCGGUGACAAACCGGAGGAAGGUGGGGAUGACGUCAAAUCAUCAUGCCCCUUAUGAUUUGGGCUACACACGUGCUACAAUGGACAAUACAAAGGGCAGCGAAACCGCGAGGUCAAGCAAAUCCCAUAAAGUUGUUCUCAGUUCGGAUUGUAGUCUGCAACUCGACUACAUGAAGCAGGAAUCGCUAGUAAUCGUAGAUCAGCAUGCUACGGUGAAUACGUUCCCGGGUCUUGUACACACCGCCCGUCACACCACGAGAGUUUGUAACACCCGAAGCCGGUGGAGUAACCUUUUAGGAGCUAGCCGUCGAAGGUGGGACAAAUGAUUGGGGUGAAGUCGUAACAAGGUAGCCGUAUCGGAAGGUGCGGCUGGAUCACCU